UACAGAGGUCCCAAGCGUUGUUCGGAUUCACUGGGCGUAAAGGGUGCGUAGGUGGUCGGGUAAGUCUGAUGUGAAAUCUCUGGGCUCAACCCAGAAAUGGCAUUGGAUACUAUCCGGCUAGAGGAGUGGAGGGGGAACUGGAAUACUUGGUGUAGCAGUGAAAUGCGUAGAUAUCAAGAGGAACACCUGCGGCGAAGGCGGGUUGCUGGGCCGACACUGACGCUGAUGCGCGAAAGCCAGGGGAGCGAACGGG
rnacentral:rRNA from 1 species